AUUAUUUCAGAUGGCUUAAAGGUAGGCAGACAAUGUAAUAGAGCAGCAGGAAAUUCUAGCAGAAUGCUAGGUUGUAUAGGGAGAGGUAUUAGCAGUAGAAAGAGGGAAGUGCUCAUGCCAUUGUACAGUACACUGGUGAGACCUCACUUGGAGUAUUGUACACAGUACUGGAGACCGUAUCUUCAGAAGGAUAUUGAUACCUUAGAG